UCAGUCCUUUCUCUCCUCGUCCGCGUCCUUUGUUCUUUCCUAUGGCGCCUUGUAUUUCUUUCCAGUCUUGCCCCCCCCCCCCCAUUCUCCCAGUUCCCCAGCCCACCGUCCUCGGUCUGCAUCCCCGGAUGGUUCCUCCGAGGCCGCGGGAUACCGAGCCUGCCGCUAAGGAACCGGGAUUCUCCAUUUCUGCGGUAGAAGCACGGACCCUAAUGGCCGCAUGCGCAGUGAUAAUUCCGCGGCCUACCGACCGCGCCUUUUGGCUGCUGUUCAGGUGAAGAUUGUGGUGAGGAAGGAGACCAGAAGAUGGGCCGAUGAGGAGACAAAGCAGGGCCUGUGUGCACUUGGGCGGUUCUUGGAAGAGUGAGGAGACAGCCUGUAAGCCUCUGCUCAUUAAGCUAAGGACCAUGUGACCAGUGAGGCGGCCAUCAUGUGAUUUGGUCUGCAUUAUUUGUUGGAAAAAUGCCACAAGAAGAUCACACUGGGAUUUAGAAGUUUCUGGCUAAUACUUAGCCAGGUAGCCUUUUGUGGCCAGAUUGGUCUACAAAGAGAAACAGCAUUUUGGAAAAGUGAAAUACCUUUGUAACCCAACAUGCAAUUGGUUCAAUAAAGACUUUUCAAAUUUCUUUCUCUGAUUGGA